GCUUAACACAUGCAAGUCGAGCGGUAACAGGCAUUUUGAUUCAGCUUGCUGAAUCUCGCGCUGACGAGCGGCGGACGGGUGAGUAACGCGUAGGAAUCUACCUAGUAGAAGGGGAUAGCCCGGGGAAACUCGGAUUAAUACCGUAUGCGUCCUUAGGGAGAAAGAGGGCUUAGCUUUGAUGCUCUCGCUAUUAGAUGAGCCUGCGUAAGAUUAGCUUGUUGGUGAGGUAAAGGCUCACCAAGGCUACGAUCUUUAGCUGGUCUGAGAGGACGAUCAGCCACAUUGGGACUGAGACACGGCCCAGACUCCUACGGGAGGCAGCAGUGGGGAAUAUUGGACAAUGGGCGCAAGCCUGAUCCAGCCAUACCGCGUGUGUGAAGAAGGCCUUCGGGUUGUAAAGCACUUUAAGUAAGGAAGAAAAGUAUAUUGUUAAUACCAAUGUACCGUGACAUUACUUACAGAAUAAGGACCGGCUAAUUCCGUGCCAGCAGCCGCGGUAAUACGGAAGGUCCAAGCGUUAAUCGGAAUUACUGGGCGUAAAGCGCGCGUAGGUGGUUUAUUAAGUUGGGUGUGAAAGCCCCGGGCUCAACCUGGGAACUGCAUCCAAAACUGAUUCACUAGAGUACGAAAGAGGGAGGUAGAAUUCACAGUGUAGCGGUGGAAUGCGUAGAUAUUGUGAAGAAUACCAAUGGCGAAGGCAGCCUCCUGGUUCUGUACUGACACUGAGGUGCGAAAGCGUGGGUAGCGAACAGGAUUAGAUACCCUGGUAGUCCACGCCGUAAACGAUGACAACCAGCUGUUGGGAAGCAAUGCUUUUCAGUGGCGCAGCUAACGUCUUAAGUUGUCCGCCUGGGGAGUACGGCCACAAGUUAAAACUCAAAU
rnacentral:rRNA from 1 species